UACGGGGGGGGCAAGCGUUGUUCGGAAUUACUGGGCGUAAAGGGCUCGUAGGCGGCCAACUAAGUCAGACGUGAAAUCCCCAGGCUCAACCUGGGAACUGCGUCUGAUACUGUAUGGCUUGAAUUCGGGAGAGGGAUGCAGAAUUCCAGGUGUAGCGGUGAAAUGCGUAGAUAUCUGGAGGAAUACCGGUGGCGAAGGCGGCAUCCUGGACCGACAUUGACGCUGAUGAGCGAAAGCUAGGGGAGCAAACGGG
rnacentral:rRNA from 1 species